AGUGAACGCUGGCGGUAGGCCUAACACAUGCAAGUCGAACGGCAGCACAGUAAGAGCUUGCUCUUACGGGUGGCGAGUGGCGGACGGGUGAGGAAUAUAUCGGAAUCUACUUUUUCGUGGGGGAUAACGUAGGGAAACUUACGCUAAUACCGCAUACGACCUACGGGUGAAAGCAGGGGAUCUUCGGACCUUGCGCGAUUGAAUGAGCCGAUGUUGGAUUAGCUAGUUGGCGGGGUAAAGGCCCACCAAGGCGACGAUCCGUAGCUGGUGUGGGUGGCUGGUCAGCCACACUGGAACUGGGACACGGACCAGACCCCUGCGGGAGGCAGCAGUGGGGAAUAUUAGACAAUGGUCGCAAGCCUGAUCCAGCCAUACCGCGUGGGUGAAGAAGGCCUUCGGGUUGUAAAGCCCUUUUGUUGGGAAAGAAAAGCAGCAGGUUAAUACCCCGCUGUUCUGACGGUACCCAAAGAAUAAGCACCGGCUAACUUCGUG
rnacentral:rRNA from 1 species